rnacentral:rRNA from 1 species
UACGUAGGUGGCAAGCGUUGUCCGGAUUUAUUGGGUUUAAAGGGUGUGUAGGCGGUCUAUUAAGUCAGUGGUGAAAUAUCGCAGCUUAACUGUGAGGGUGCCAUUGAUACUGAUGGACUUGAGUGAAGUCGAAGUAGGCGGAAUUGACGGUGUAGCGGUGAAAUGCUUAGAUAUCGUCAAGAACACCGAUAGUGAAGACAGCUUACUAGGCUUAUACUGACGCUGAGGCACGAAAGUGUGGGGAUCAAACAGG